GACGAACGCUGGCGGCGUGCUUAACACAUGCAAGUCGAACGGAAAGGCCCUGCUUUUGUGGGGUGCUCGAGUGGCGAACGGGUGAGUCACACGUGAGUAACCUGCCCUUGACUUUGGGAUAACUUCAGGAAACUGGGGCUAAUACCGGAUAGGAGCUCCUGCUGCAUGGUGGGGGUUGGAAAGUUUCGGCGGUUGGGGAUGGACUCGCGGCUUAUCAGCUUGUUGGUGGGGUAGUGGCUUACCAAGGCUUUGACGGGUAGCCGGCCUGAGAGGGUGACCGGCCACAAUGGGACUGAGAUACGGCCCAGACUCCUACGGGAGGCAGCGGUGGGGAAUAUUGCACAGUGGGCGGAAGCCUGAUGCAGCAACGCCGCGUGCGGGAUGACGGCCUUCGGGUUGUAAACCGCUUUCGCCUGUGACGAAGCGUGAGUGACGGUAAUGGGUAAAGAAGCACCGGCUAACUACGUG
rnacentral:rRNA from 1 species